UCCCCCUCCCUGGGCUGCUGUGUGUGCACCCCAGACCAGCGCUGCCUGCGCGCGGUGGUUUAUCUGGGUCUGCGCACGAUACGGAUCUCAACUCUGGUUUUUAUCAUCUCUCCUCCAGCUCCGAAGUACACCACCGCGACCUCAUGCUCUUGACUAGCUCCUGAAGCGUGGAGGUGCACAUAAAAGGAGGAGAACGGCCUGGUUCCUGCAAGUCUUCAUUUGGAUUGCAGCUGUGCGAUCUGCUGGUGCAUCUGACCAGAGACUGAAGCCCUGGUUGUGCCAGGAGCUGUUCCUGUCCAGCAAUACUGGAAACAAUAGAAGUUCUUGAAACCAAAACUACACUGUCACACUUUUUAAUUUUCAAAGAAAUUUCUGUAAACAUUCAUAGUAUAACAAUAAUACAGAUUUCCAACCAGGUAGCUGAGCUGGUUGUACCCAUCUGCUGCGUUUAAGCAUGUUGACGGAUAAAACAAACCUCUGUCAGCCUAUAAGAAGCCCAAGCAAACUGGGAAAGCAAACAGGAUUAUCAGCAUUUGCCUGAAUCCACACGAUCUAAUGGUGUGGAGCGCAGGACUGAGUGGGAAGGAGAGACUGGAGAACAGUUAGGAGAAGAGGUGAUGCCCCGGGAGCAGUCUGGGCAACUCAGCUGGAGCUGAAGGUUGCCCAAGGUGUGCUCUAAGGACCCAGCUGCCCCGCUCACCGAGAUGCCUUGCGCUGGAAGGAAGUGGCUGCUUUGUGGAGCUGGUGGGAAGGCGCCAGCGCGCACCAGCUGCAGCCCUGACCCAGGCUCCGCUUCAGCUGGGUGCACGUUAGGGGACAGGCACAGCUGGCCACGGUGGCACGCCGGCAGCUCCCCCUGGUCAGCACAACUGCACGAAGUCCUGCUGGCGGGGGGGUCUGGCCUUGCAGAGCUGCUCACGGGUCCAGAGGUUUGAGGUUUGGUUUGGAGCUGGGGAGCAGAGACAGCGGUGCCAUGCACUGGCCAGCUCUUCCGAUUUCUAGUGUUCAGUAAUCCCUUAUUAACAGGCUACAAACCUGGGCAGGAGCUGUAGUGUCGAGAUGUUUCUAAUCUCUUUCUUCUAUUUCCCUUUUUAAUUUAUUUUAACUGAAAAAUGCCCUCUCUUUGAUUUCUCUAUUCCUUGUACGAUUAGGGGAAACCCCUUCUAGUGAGUCUGAGUGCUUCUACCGUGGAAAUAUUUAGUACCAGCUCUGGCAUAUUUAUGUUGGCUCCCUGAUUAGACAAUGUGCCAAGCUGUCCUUCGUGGCCUUAAUUAUCGCAACUUCAGGCCAGCGUUGCCUGCUUACAGCAUAAUCCCACGGCCUAGAGUGAACCCUGAAAAUGCUUAAUUAAAUGACAUUCCACAACAGAUUAAGGAGUCAGAAGCCCAAGAUAAAGAAAAAGGGAGACUGUGACCAUAGGAGUGGCAGGUGGUCUUCCCUUUCAGGAUAACGCUCCUAGACAAGGACUGUUCCAUUUUGAGCAUAUUAGAAGCCCAACAUUAAUUGGGAACAGUUUAGGGUCUGUGCUUGGCUGCUUGCAUUUUCAGCGCAAAGCGAUUCAGAGACGUCUCAUUUUGGGCUGGUGUGUGAAUGGGCCCUGUUGACUCUCGCUGAUUUACAUCAGCGGAGGAUCUGCUCCCUGCUCGGCGUAAUUUGACUGUCUCCAUCAUCGUGUAUGAAUUAUGGCCUGACCGUGCAGUCUGCUGGUGUGAGGAGGCGCUGCCGGGGGUGGCUUGCAGUUCACAUGGUGCCGGGGCAGCUUCCCCCAGCCUGGUGUUGCCAGAGAAGAGCUGCGGGACAGACACCCUCGAGCAGCUUGUACAGCAGCGACCAGAGACAUUGUGUGCUUUCUUUUGGGCACCUGGAUGAGGCCCUUUGGCAAAGUCGGUGGAUGCUUCUCCUGCUUUGCUCUUCUAAAAUCCAGGGCGAGCAUCAGCGUCAGGCACCAAGAAUCAGUCGGGGGUUUUAUUACUGUUUUUUUAAAAGAAAAACAAAACCUUUUCUCUAUGUAAAAAAACUAGUGUGCAGUUAUUCGGAACAGACACAAUCAAAUUGUGUUAGGGAGUCCCCCGGGAGCCAAAGCCUCCGUCUAACCACAGAAGAUCAGCAUACAAACACAAACGCCGUAGAUAAUGUUACAUUGCACAGAUUAGGGCUCAAAUCUUCAGCAAAUCUGUUCAGAGCAAGAAAAUGACAGCAAGUGGGGCACGUGCAGCACACCGAGCACGUCUCAUUCAAAGGCCCAUUGGUAAAGGCAGUUAUUGCUAAUAUUGUGUUUUAUCAUAUUAUUUCUUAA